rnacentral:rRNA from 1 species
CAAAGGUAGCGUAAUCAUUUGUCUAUUAAUUGUAGACCAGUAUGAAAGGCAAAAUGAGGGUCUAACUGUCUCUUAUAAUAAAUCAAUUAAACUGAUCUCCUAGUAAAAAAGCUAGAAUAUCUUCAUAAGACCAGAAGACCCUGUGAAGCUUUAACUAAACUAUUAAACCCUAUAAUAGCUACUUUGGGUUGGGGCGACCUUGGAAAAAAAAAGAACUUCCAAAGACUUAUGACCAUUAAUCAUACUACUUCGGCCUACAAGCCUACAACUAUGAUCCAGCUACAGCUGAUAAAUGAACCAAGUUACUCCAGGGAUAACAGCGCCAUCUUCUUCAAGAGUCCAUAUCAAAAAGAAGGUUUACGACCUCGAUGUUGGAU